rnacentral:tRNA from 2 species
GUCCGGAUAGUGUAGUGGCCAAUCAUGGGGCCCUGUCGAGGCCUCGACCCGGGUUCAAAUCCCGGCCCGGACG